UAAUUGGGCUGGUGAGUCCCUGGAUGACUAAUAUUGACAUAUUAAUUGAUUUAAAUAUUGUUAUGUUAAUAUACGGAGUACAACCAAAUGAGCCACUGAAUGCGUACAUUGACCAGGACAAGAUGGAGUCAGAGAGAGCUCUAAGCACAUGGCCAGAUAUGACUCGCAGAACUGCAAACUAACAGAGGAGGAAGUGACACCUGAUUAGGUCAGGUGUAGAUUUUAGAACAAGACAUUUAACCUGAACCCCCAAGGAAAUGGGCAGCGAAGCAUCCUAAGUGGACAGUGACGACUAGCUGAAUGUUAAAUGGACUGAAUAAAUUUAGUGCUUUUUCAGUCAUUUCAGUCACUCAAAUUACAAUGACGCAGAGUUAGCCAGAUCAGAAGGAAGCUUGGAGUUCAGUGUCAUGCUCAAGGACACUUUGGAAGGAUGGUUGGUCAAAGAUAAGAUCGAACAGACAGAUAGACAAACAGAAAGAUCGACAGACAGACUUUCCCAGGAGACAGUGUGUUCGUGUGUGUGCGUGUGUGUAUUGGUUGCAGACAGUUGGUGGUACUGGCACUGGAGAUAGUGAGCAGAGGGGGAUGAGGCACUAUAUCAAGUUGUGAACAUCUGUUCCUCAUAGAAACCACAACACUGGUAGUGAGGAAAUAAAGAGGAUAACUGCUCUCUCUUUCUCUCAGAGACACACUUUGUUACUACCUUGUCUUGCCAAACACACACACACACACACGCACACAUACACACACACACAGCCAUCACUUUUAUUCUGAUUUACUCAACAUUUACCUGUUCUUACAUCAUGAUCACUCCUCAACUUUUCCCAAAAUUUUCUCUUUUUUCUUUUUGUUUUUUUGUUUUUUGCUUAGUUUGUUUCAGUCUGGAGAUGUGAGGUGAGAAUUAACCACUGAUUUAGUCAAUAAAAUGCAAACUGCAUUUUCAGGUAAGCUGCAAAUUUAUAAAAUGUUGGUUUUAAGCAUUGGCAAAUUUUGUGCCGUCACUCUGAACAUGACAGUUUUAUUUAUCAGGCUAACUGCAGACCUCGUGACCUGACAAAACUGUGUGACAAACCACACAAAGUAUAGAAGAUAACAUCAUUCGAGUGGGCUGCAGCCUCCGGGGAGGCCAGGCAGCAAGGUUGCUUGUGUUGAUAGCAGCAGACAACAGCAGGCAGCAGGACCUGGGCCUCCAUGUGGGCUUCCUCUGUCAGGAACCAGCUGUGUCGGCCUGCAGCCACUUCUUCCCCUCCUGUAUCCUCCGCUCUAAGGCACCUCACCCUUGCUUCUGUGCACCUUGUCUGGUGGCUUUUGUUCCUUGUAAUAAAAAAUAAAAAUAAAAAUAAAAAUCACCCCUCA